rnacentral:rRNA from 1 species
GAUGAACGCUGGCGGCGUGCCUAAUACAUGCAAGUCGAGCGAACGGACGAGAAGCUUGCUUCUCUGAUGUUAGCGGCGGACGGGUGAGUAACACGUGGAUAACCUACCUAUAAGACUGGGAUAACUUCGGGAAACCGGAGCUAAUACCGGAUAAUAUUUUGAACCGCAUGGUUCAAAAGUGAAAGACGGUCUUGCUGUCACUUAUAGAUGGAUCCGCGCUGCAUUAGCUAGUUGGUAAGGUAACGGCUUACCAAGGCAACGAUGCAUAGCCGACCUGAGAGGGGGAUCGGCCACACUGGAACUUAUACACGGUCCAGACGCCGACGGGAGGCAGCAGUAGGGAAUCUUCCGCAAUGGGCGAAAGCCUGACGGAGCAAAGCCGCGUGAGUGAUGAAGGUCUUCGGAUCGUAAAACUCUGUUAUUAGGGAAGAACAUAUGUGUAAGUAACUGUGCACAUCAAGACGGUACCUAAUAAGAAAGCCACGGCUAACUACGUG